ACAGCCCGGGCCGCGGGCGAACCCGCGCGGAGGCGAGGCACCCGGCACGGCAAAGCGGACUCGGGGUGGAGUGGCCGCCGGCCGACGCGCGCCGCACUUCACCCCGCCGAGCACAGGAACUAGCCGACUACAUUUUACUGGUUUCCUGGACUUGCUUCUAAAGACACAGCAAGAGAAGGAGCACAACAGAAGAGGAAAAGCAGGCUUCCCGCCAAUCAGGGAGCCGAUAUGGGGCCGCAUCCCAAGACCCUGGGAUCAGGACCUGAGCCAAAGGCAGGCGCUUUAAGACUGAGCCACCCAGUCACCCGGAGAGGCCUAUUUCUUAUUAGUAAAUUCUCCCCUUUUAAAUAUUUCUCCUCCACUUUCUUCCUGCUGUGGCUUUGCAGAAAUCCACAGCUUUCUCAACUGUCCAUGUUCUUCCCUGGAAGCAAAAAUAAUGUUUCUAUUUUUUUAGUUUAGGAGAACACCAGCAAUUCUUCGACCAUUAUCAGAAUUUUCUAAGUAAAGGGCUUCUCUCUCUUUUUAGAGAGAGAGAAUGCUAAGCAGGCUCCACGUUUAGCAUGGAGCCCAAAGUGGGGCUACAUCUCAUGACCCUUAGAUCAUGACCUGAGCCCAAGUCAAGAGUCUGAUGCUUAACCAACCCUGGUGCCCGCAGGAACCUCCUCUUUUAAACACAAUUCUGGAUUCAUUGACUUUAGAGAGAGAGACAGAGCAGAGCACCUGUGAUUUUGACUUCCAAGCUCCACUUCCCCUGGAUCCCUCAGAGAGCUCCCCGGAGGAGAGACUCACCCCCAACCCUGCAGGUAGAGCAGAGCCCCUGCUGCAUUCUGAGGGGGGAGCCCCAAAAGCCCAGUGGGAAGGAGCUGGAGGAGGGAUGGGGAGAGGACAGGUGGAGGUGUUUUCUUCCCCUCCAACUCUGGUGACCCUCCCCAAAUGAGAAGAGAAAAUUGCUCACAUUAUUUUACACUUGAGGCAAUCCAGUGAAAUCCAAGUGUUAAUCUUUCUGAUUUAGCUGUUCUUUCAAGUGCAAAGGAUUUAGAGGUCAAUGAAAAGCUGCCAGAAUAUUGUCUCCUUCACUCUGGCUUCUGCCAACUUAAUUUGAAAUUGGCUUUGUCAACUCUUCUUUUCUCAUCUGGGUAGAACCCAGACAGAUUUCUGCCUGCAGAUGACAAAAUCCUGCCCACCCCCACCCCAGAUCUGCUUCUCUAGUCCAGGUUGGGAGGUUGGCUCAAAACGACAUUGGUGACCGUUUGGGCCACUGGGGGUUGUCCCAAGGACAAAUCAGCUGCUGCCCAGGGCCUGAUGGUUUUCCUGAAGACUUGCAGUUUUUCAGAAAGGGAAUGGUAGGGAAUUGGAGAGAAACAAUAAUAGCUGAAAGCCUAAAAUACCCUGGAAUUUCGUCAGGUAUGACAUCAUGGAACUAUUAGCAACUCUUUGAAAGUUAUCCCAAGGGUUAGCACCUUAUACAGCCUGGCA